rnacentral:rRNA from 1 species
CGCGGCCUAUCAGCUUGUUGGUGAGGUAGUGGCUCACCAAGGCGACGACGGGUAGCCGGCCUGAGAGGGCGACCGGCCACACUGGGACUGAGACACGGCCCAGACUCCUACGGGAGGCAGCAGUGGGGAAUAUUGCACAAUGGGCGAAAGCCUGAUGCAGCGACGCCGCGUGAGGGAUGACGGCCUUCGGGUUGUAAACCUCUUUCAGCAGGGAAGAGGCGCAAGUGACGGUACCUGCAGAAGAAGCGCCGGCUAACUACGUGCCAGCAGCCGCGGUAAUACGUAGGGCGCAAGCGUUGUCCGGAAUUAUUGGGCGUAAAGAGCUCGUAGGCGGCUUGUUGCGUCGACCGUGAAAACUUGGGGCUUAACCCCAAGCUUGCGGUUGAUACGGGCAGGCUAGAGUGUGGUAGGGGAGAUCGGAAUUCCUGGUGUAGCGGUGAAAUGCGCAGAUAUCAGGAGGAACACCGGUGGCGAAGGCGGAUCUCUGGGCCAUUACUGACGCUGAGGAGCGAAAGCGUGGGGAGCGAACAGGAUUAGAUACCCUGGUAGUCCACGCCGUAAACGGUGGGCACUAGGUGUUGGCGACAUUCCACGUCGUCCGUGCCGCAGCUAACGCAUUAAGUGCCCCGCCUGGGGAGUACGGA